GAAAAGUGACAACCUUCUAUAUGCUUUUUCGAACAUCUCUUUUAAGUUACACAACCACCCACAUUCCCUAAAUCACAUGACCCUUUUUGUUCCCGUGACGUAUUUGACAGGCCUCUCUUUAAAUAUAAUUUGCCUAAAUAGGAUCUGGCUUCUCUCGUCUUCCUGCAUAUUUGCAUUGUCUUCUGGAAUCGUUCUGAAAGAAACUCACCUUCAAGAUGGUCGUGAGAAAUACUGCACCUAAACUUUUUCUGACGUUGCUCGCCAUUGCAGUUUGCUUACCAUUCCAGGCGAAUGCAUUGUGCUUUGGUCAAAUGUGUAAGAUUUAUCCACAAAUGGAGCAUUUUUGUUGUGAUUUUAUGGGAGUUAAAGAAUGCUGCACAUCAGAUAAACUCAGAGGUGGUACAAAUUGCAUAAAGACAGUAAUUGCUCAAUAACAAACAGGAAAUACCUCAAGCAUAUACUCAUCCAAUUUUAAAAAAAAACAAGCUUUUACUAAGUUAACAGUUACAAACUGUAUAUUAUAAUGUACACUAAUUAAAAACUAUGUAUUAUAUUGUUGCUCAGAUAUUGUAUUCAUUUUGAUUUGGUUUAAUAAAAUGUUCACUUUUUUA